UACGAAGGGGGCUAGCGUUGCUCGGAAUUACUGGGCGUAAAGGGCGCAUAGGCGGCCUGCUAAGUCGGACGUGAAAUCCCUCGGCUCAACCCCGGGACUGCGUCCGAUACUUCCGAGCUGGAGGUAGGUAGGGGAGAUCGGAAUUCCUGGUGUAGCGGUGAAAUGCGCAGAUAUCAGGAGGAACACCAGUGGCGAAGGCGGCACUCUGGGCCGGUACUGACGCUGAGGAGCGAAAGCGUGGGGAGCGAACAGG
rnacentral:rRNA from 1 species